AUUGAACGCUGGCGGCAGGCCUAACACAUGCAAGUCGAGCGAGCGGCGGACGGGUGAGUAAUGUCUGGGAAACUUCCUGAUGGAGGGGGAUAACUACUGGAAACGGUAGCUAAUACCGCAUACCAUCAGAUGUGCCCAGCUGGGAGUAGCGUGUAGGGGGGGUAACGGCUCACCUAGGCGACGAUCCCUAGCUGGUCUGAGAGGAUGACCAGCCACACUGGAACUGAGACACGGUCCAGACUCCUACGGGAGGCAGCAGUGGGGAAUAUUGCACAAUGGGCGAAAGCCUGAUGCAGCCAUGCCGCGUGUGUGAAGAAGGCCUUCGGAUUGUAAAGCACUUUAAGCGGGGAGGCGUUACCCGCAGAAGAAGCACCGGCUAACUCCGUGCCAGCAGCCGCGGUAAUAC
rnacentral:rRNA from 1 species